rnacentral:rRNA from 1 species
GUAGGUGGCAAGCGUUGUCCGGAAUUAUUGGGCGUAAAGCGCGCGCAGGCGGUUCUUUAAGUCUGAUGUGAAAGCCCAUGGCUCAACCGUGGAGGGUCAUUGGAAACUGGAGAACUUGAGUACAGAAGAGGAAAGCGGAAUUCCACGUGUAGCGGUGAAAUGCGUAGAGAUGUGGAGGAACACCAGUGGCGAAGGCGGCUUUCUGGUCUGUAACUGACGCUGAGGCGCGAAAGCGUGGGGAGCAAACAGGAUUAGAUACCCUGGUAGUCCACGCCGUAAACGAUGAGUGCUAAGUGUUAGGGGGUUUCCGCCCCCCUUAGUGCUGCAGCUAACGCAUUAAGCACUCCGCCUGGGAGUACGGCCGCAAGGCUG